rnacentral:rRNA from 1 species
AUUGAACGCUGGCGGCAUGCUUUACACAUGCAAGUCGAACGGUAACAGGCCUUCGGGUGCUGACGAGUGGCGAACGGGUGAGUAAUGCAUCGGAACGUGCCCAGAGGUGGGGGAUAACGCAGCGAAAGCUGUGCUAAUACCGCAUGUGAUCUGAGGAUGAAAGCGGGGGACCAGGCAGCAAUGUUUGGCCUCGCGCCUUUGGAGCGGCCGAUGUCAGAUUAGGUAGUUGGUGGGGUAAAGGCCUACCAAGCCGACGAUCUGUAGCUGGUCUGAGAGGACGACCAGCCACACUGGGACUGAGACACGGCCCAGACUCCUACGGGAGGCAGCAGUGGGGAAUUUUGGACAAUGGGCGGAAGCCUGAUCCAGCAAUGCCGCGUGCGGGAAGAAGGCCUUCGGGUUGUAAACCGCUUUUGUACGGAACGAAAAGGCUCUGGCUAAUACCUGGGGCUGAUGACGGUACCGUAAGAAUAAGCACCGGCUAACUACGUG